AUUGAACGCUGGCGGCAGGCUUAACACAUGCAAGUCGAACGCGUUUAAAGGGGCAACUCUUUAAAUGAGUGGCAAACGGGUGAGGAAUACAUAGGAAUCUCCCCCGCAGUAAGGAAUAACAUUGGGAAACCAAUGCUAAUGCCAUAUAUUACCGAUUUAUCGGGAAAGAUUUAUCGCUGUUGGAUGAGCCUUUGUCGGAUUAGCUAGUUGGUAGGGUAAUGGCCUACCAAGGCAAUGAUCCGUAGCUGGUCUGAGAGGAUGAUCAGCCACAUUGGGACUGCGAAACGGCCCAAACUCCUAAGGGAGGCAGCAGUGGGGAAUAUUGGACAAUGGACGCAAGUCUGAUCCAGCAAUACCACGUGAGUGAUGAAGGCCUUCGGGUUGUAAAACUCUUUUAGUAGGGAAGAUAAUGACGGUACCUACAGAGAAAGCACCGGCUAACUUCGUGCCAGCAGCCGCGGUAA
rnacentral:rRNA from 1 species